rnacentral:rRNA from 1 species
AUUGAACGCUGGCGGCAGGCCUAACACAUGCAAGUCGAACGAGUAGCGGACGGGUGAGUAAUGUCUGGGAAACUGCCCGAUGGAGGGGGAUAACUACUGGAAAAGGUAGCUAAUACUGCAUACCGCCGGAUGUGCCCACGUGGGAUGAGCGAGUGGGUGGGGUAACGGCUCACCUAGGCGACGAUGCAUAGCAGGCCUGAGAGGAUGACCGGCCACACGGGAACUGAGACACGGUCCAGACUCCUACGGGAGGCAGCAGUGGGGAAUAUUCGGCAAUGGGCGAAAGUCUGAUAGAGCCAUGCCGCGUGGGUGAAGAAGGCUUUCGGGUUGUAAAGCACUUUCAUUGGAGAGGCGGUACUUGAAGAAGAAGCCCCGGCUAACUACGUGCCAGCAGCCGCGGUAAUAC